ACGAACGCUGGCGGCAUGCCUAAUACAUGCAAGUCGAACGAACACUUCGGUGUUAGUGGCGCACGGGUGCGUAACGCGUGGGAAUCUACCCUUAGGUUCGGAAUAACAGUUAGAAAUGACUGCUAAUACCGGAUGAUGACGUAAGUCCAAAGAUUUAUCGCCCAAGGAUGAGCCCGCGUAGGAUUAGCUUGUUGGUGAGGUAAAAGCUCACCAAGGCGACGAUCCUUAGCUGGUCUGAGAGGAUGAUCAGCCACACUGGGACUGAGACACGGCCCAGACUCCUACGGGAGGCAGCAGUAGGGAAUAUUGGACAAUGGGGGAAACCCUGAUCCAGCAAUGCCGCGUGAGUGAUGAAGGCCUUAGGGUUGUAAAGCUCUUUUACCCGAGAUGAUAAUGACAGUAUCGGGAGAAUAAGCUCCGGCUAACUCCGU
rnacentral:rRNA from 1 species